rnacentral:rRNA from 1 species
AGCGAACGCUGGCGGCAGGCCUAACACAUGCAAGUCGAGCGGCCGUAGCAAUACGGCAGCGGCAGACGGGAGAGUAACACGUGGGAACGUACCCUUUGGUUCGGAACAACUCAGGGAAACUUGGGCUAAUACCGGAUAAAUCCGUACGGAGAAAGAUUUAUCGCCAAAGGAUCGCCCCGCGUCUGAUUAGCUAGUUGGUGAGGUAAUGGCUCACCAAGGCGACGAUCAGUAGCUGGUCUGAGAGGAUGAUCAGCCUCACUGGGACUGAGACACGGCCCAGACUCCUACGGGAGGCAGCAGUGGGGAAUAUUGGACAAUGGGCGCAAGCCUGAUCCAGCCAUGCCGCGUGGAUGAUGAAGGCCCUAGGGUUGUAAAGUCCUUUCGGCGGGGAAGAUAAUGACGGUACCCGCAGAAGAAGCCCCGGCUAACUUCGUGCCAGCAGCCGCGGUAA